UACAGAGGGUGCAAGCGUUGUUCGGAAUUAUUGGGCGUAAAGGGCGCGUAGGCGGUUCGGCAAGUCUCUAGUGAAAUCUCAGGGCUCAACUCUGAGUCUGCUGGGGAAACUGCCGGGCUUGAGUGUGGGAGAGGAGAGUGGAAUUCCCGGUGUAGCGGUGAAAUGCGCAGAUAUCAGGAGGAACACCGGUGGCGAAGGCGGAUCUCUGGGCCUGUUCUGACGCUGAGGCGCGAAAGCUAGGGGAGCGAACAGG
rnacentral:rRNA from 1 species